UACGAAGGGGGCUAGCGUUGCUCGGAAUCACUGGGCGUAAAGCGCACGUAGGCGGAUCUUUAAGUCAGAGGUGAAAUCCCAAGGCUCAACCUUGGAACUGCCUUUGAUACUGGGAUCUCGAGUCCGGAAGAGGUGAGUGGAACUGCGAGUGUAGAGGUGAAAUUCGUAGAUAUUCGCAAGAACACCAGUGGCGAAGGCGGCUCACUGGCCCGGUACUGACGCUGAGGUGCGAAAGCGUGGGGAGCAAACAGG
rnacentral:rRNA from 1 species